rnacentral:sRNA from 12 species
GCGCGUCUGGAUCAAGAUGGGGCGUUCGUUCGCCUAUUGGGCCGCAGUGCGUAAAACCACCCACAAGGGGAUCUUCUCAGGGUGGUCGGUAUAGCCGGGAGGUACGAACCUGGAAACAGGUCGAGAAGGCAAUGGCAGGGCGGCGUAUUACCCAGACACAGGCGCCGUCGACUGUCCCAAAACCUACCCCCGCCGUGCGCCGAGAAGGGCCGAGGGCGCUUGUAACGCAUAACCUCGAAAGCGCGGAACGCCA